rnacentral:tRNA from 1 species
CGGGUUGUGGCUCAUUGGUAGAGCACUUGCCUAGCACCUAUGAGACCCUGGGUUCGAUUCUUAGCACCACAU